AGCAGCCGCGGUAAUUCCAGCUCCAAUAGCGUAUAUUAAAGUUGUUGCAGUAUGUCGGCUCGUAGUUGAAUUUCGGGAUUAGUACGUUGGUCGUGCCUUCGGUACGUACUGGUGUUACUGAUUCCUACCUUCUGACGAACCAUCAUGUCAUUAAUGCUCGCUGUAGGGAAUCCAAUGCUGUUACUUUGAAAAAUGCUCCGUGUUUAAAGCAAGCAUUAGCUUGAAUACAUUAGCAUGGAAUAAUGAAAUAGGACGUUUGAUCCUAUUUCGUUGGUUACUAGGAUCGAUGCUCGCUGUAAUAGGGAUAGUUGGGGGCAUUAGUAUUCAAUUGUCAGAGGUGAAAUUCUUGGAUUUAUUGAAGACUAAAUGCUCGCUGAUAGUUUGCCAAGGAUGUUUUCAUUAAUCAAGAACGAAAGUUAGGGGAAUGCUCCGUAUCAGAUACCGUCGUAGUCUUAACCAUAAAUGCCUCGUGAUAGUGAUCGGAUGAUGUUAAUUUUUUAAUGACUCAACACUCGCUCGUAGAAGGUGUCGCUCGCUGUAGAUGCUCGUAGAGAUCGUCGAGGCUCGCUGUAAGUAGAUGCUC
rnacentral:rRNA from 1 species